GGGACGUUAGCUUAGUUGGUUAAAGCUCCUGGCUCAUAACCGGGUGAUGAGGUUAAUUCUUCACGGGGGUUCGAAUCCCUCACGUCCCA
rnacentral:tRNA from 1 species